GAGGUUCGACUCGAGCGAAGCGAGAGAACGUUGCGCCAGCAACGGCCCGCAGGGCGAGCCACGAAGUGGCGAGUAAUCCUCUAUCACCGACCA
rnacentral:sRNA from 1 species